rnacentral:rRNA from 1 species
AAUCAACGCUGGCGGCGUGCCUCAGACAUGCAAGUCGAACGCGAAAGGGUUCCUUCGGGAACCGAGUAGAGUGGCGCACGGGUGAGUAACACGUAGGUAAUUUGCCUUUGGGUGGGGAAUAACAGCCGGAAACGGCUGCUAAUACCGCAUAAUGCAGCGGCUCGACAUCGAGACAGUUGUUAAAGCGGGGGAUCGCAAGACCUCGCGCCUAAAGAGAAGCCUGCGGCAGAUAGCUAGUUGGUAGGGUAAUGGCCUACCAAGGCGACGAUCUGUAACCGGCCUGAGAGGGCGGUCGGUCACACUGACACUGACAUACGGGUCAGACUCCUACGGGAGGCAGCAGUCGGGAAUUUUGGGCAAUGGCGAAAGCCUGACCCAGCAACGCCGCGUGAAGGA